rnacentral:rRNA from 1 species
UACGGGGGGUGCAAGCGUUGUCCGGAUUUACUGGGCGUAAAGGGCGCGUAGGCGGCGUGACAAGUCACUUGUGAAAUCUCCGGGGCUUAACUCGGAACGGUCAAGUGAUACUGUCGUGCUAGAGUACAGAAGGGGCAACUGGAAUUCUCGGUGUAGCGGUGAAAUGCGUAGAUAUCGAGAGGAACACCUGCGGCGAAGGCGGGUUGCUGGGCUGAUACUGACGCUGAGGCGCGAAAGCUAGGGGAGCGAACGGG